rnacentral:rRNA from 1 species
AUCAACUUUCGAUGGUAGGAUAGAGGCCUACCAUGGUGGUAACGGGUAACGGGGUGUUAGGGCACGACACCGGAGAGGGAGCCUGAGAAACGGCUACCACAUCCAAGGAUGGCAGCAGGCGCGCAAAUUACCCAAUCCCGGCACGGGGAGGUAGUGACAAUAAAUAACAAUACGGGGUUCUUUCGGAUCUCGUAAUUGGAAUGAGUACAAUUUAAAUCUCUUAACGAGGAACAAUUGGAGGGCAAGUCUGGUGCCAGCAGCCGCGGUAAUUCCAGCUCCAAUAGCGUAUAUUAAAGUUGUUGCAGUUAAAAAGCUCGUAGUUGAAUUUCGGGGUUAGCAGGUCGGUCGUGCCAUCGGUAUGAACUGGUCUCGCUGAUCCCUCCCUCUUGACGAACUGUGAUGCCAUUAAUUUGGUGUCGCAGGGAAUCAGGACUGUUACCUUGAAAAAAUUAGAGUGUUUAAAGCAGGCUAACGCUUGAAUACAUUAGCAUGGAAUAAUGAAAUAGGACGUUCGAACCUAUUUUGUUGGUUUCUAGGAUCGACGUAAUGAUUAAUAGGGAUAGUUGGGGGCAUUAGUAUUCAAUUGUCAGAGGUGAAAUUCUUGGAUUUAUUGAAGACUGACUACUGCGAAAGCAUUUGCCAAGGAUGUUUUCAUUAAUCAAGAACGAAAGUUAGGGGAUCGAAGACGAUCAGAUACCGUCGUAGUCUUAACCAUAAACUAUGCCGACUAGGGAUCGGAUGAUGUUAAUUUUAUAAUGACUCAUUCGGCGCCUUACGGGAAACCAAAGUGUUUGGGUUC